CCUACGGGUGGCAGCAGUGAGGAAUAUUGGUCAAUGGACGAGAGUCUGAACCAGCCAAGUAGCGUGAAGGAUGACUGCCCUAUGGGUUGUAAACUUCUUUUAUAUGGGAAUAAAAUGUUCCACGUGUGGGAUUUUGUAUGUACCAUAUGACUAAGGAUCGGCUAACUCCGUGCCAGCAGCCGCGGUAAUACGGAGGAUCCGAGCGUUAUCCGGAUUUAUUGGGUUUAAAGGGAGCGUAGGUGGAUUGUUAAGUCAGUUGUGAAAGUUUGCGGCUCAACCGUAAAAUUGCAGUUGAAACUGGCAGUCUUGAGUACAGGAGAGGUGGGCGGAAGUCGUGGUGUAGCGGUGAAAUGCUUAGAUAUCACGAAGAACUCCGAUUGCGAAGGCAGUUCACUGGACUGCAACUGACACUGAGGCUCGAAAGUGUGGGUAUCAAACAGGAUUAGAUACCCCUGUAGUC
rnacentral:rRNA from 1 species